GUGCUCACUUCGGCAGCACAUAUACUAAAAUUGAAUGAUACAGAGAAGAUUAGCAUGGCUCCUGCGUAAGGAUGACAUGCAAAUUCGUGAAGUAUUCCAUAUUCAA
rnacentral:snRNA from 1 species